UGGGGAAUCUUGACAAUGGGGGCAACCCUGAUCCAGCAAUGCCGCGUGUGGGAUGAAGGCCUUCGGGUUGUAAACCACUUUUGGCGGGGGCGAAAUAUCGAGUGCUAAUACCAUUCGGUGAUGACGGUACCCGCAGAAUAAGCACCGGCUAACUACGUGCUAGCAGCCGCGGUAAUACGUAGGGUGCAAGCGUUAAUCGGAAUUACUGGGCGUAAAGCGUGCGCAGGCGGUUAGGUAAGACAGGUGUGAAAUUCCCGGGCUCAACCUGGGAACUGCAUUUGUGACUGCCUGACUAGAGUGCGGCAGAGGGGAGUGGAAUUCCGCGUGUAGCAGUGAAAUGCGUAGAUAUGCGGAGGAACACCGAUGGCGAAGGCAACUCCCUGGGCCUGCACUGACGCUCAUGCACGAAAAGCGUGGGGAGCAAAACGGAUUAGAUACCCUGGUAGUCCACGCCCUAAAACGAUGUCGACUAGUUGUUGGACGGGUUACUGUUCAGUAACGAAGCUAACGCGUGAAGUCGACCGGCCUGGGGAGUACGGCCGCAAGGUUAAAACUUAAA
rnacentral:rRNA from 1 species